UUGUUUCCUCCAUACGUGUUAACAAAGGAGUUUGCCACCAAAUAUUUUUGACUUCUCUUUAUUCUUGAAAUUUGUCCAAGUUCAUGGCAAUUCAGUUCUUACUCCUCUUCUAUAUGUGGCAAAACCAGAAACUUUGAAUUGACAAAUGUCUGAUUUCUUUCUCCUAUUUCUAUGACUCACCAUGUCAAGAAAUUCAUAUAAAUAUCCAUUGAAACUCCAUUGUUCUUCAAUCUGAAAACCAAUUAAUAUUUUGUAUUACUAAGCUUAAUUCAUUUCCCUUCUAUUUAUUUCCUUGAUUUUUCACCAUUAAUAAUUACCCAUUUUCUCUCUCCUCCUUUGACCACCGUGGUACCGCCGCUACCGCCACCACCUACUUCCGGCGAAUCUCCCCGCGUCACCUUCUUUCCGUCGCCGGAAUCCACCGUGGCCUUUGCUGCUACGGUGUGUUGAUGUUGUUGUUUUUAUGCGUGAGCUGCUGCUCCAUUCUUGUUGCUUUUAACUUCUGCAUUUCCAUUUCAUGACAAAUGAAUGUCAAAGUUUGAAGAGGGGUUGUUAAUUUAAGUGGGCCUUAGUUUUAUUAAGGGGAAACUAUUGUCAUAGGCUUGAAAAUGUAAGUGGAUCGUAAGUUGUGAUGGAGGAGCAAGUAUUAUGGGCUUUGACCAAAAAUUUAAGGAAAACCAUGAAGCAAACUACGUAUUUGGAGGAUUAAUUAAUGAUGAUGUAGCUUAUCGAUGUCAAAUCAAAAUGGUUGAAGGAAAAGUGAUUAAGGUUCACCGACUGAGGUUCGAUUAAGGAGCUCAAGCUGCUCAAAUGAGAGUUAUUACUGGAGUUGGUUAUUUAUUAUGGAGAUAUCGAGAUGAGAAAUUAUUUAUUAUGGAAAUCAUGUUAUUGAGGUUGUUAUAAGAAUAUUGAUUUAUAUUUAUUUUUGGAAAAUUUGUAUUAUUUAAGAAAUGUUAUUUGAGGAUUAUUUUAUUUGUGGGCCCAUACCCACAGGUCCCAGGAUUAAUUAAACCUAAUUCCGCUGCUAAUGAUCAGUUAAGUGCGGUUUAUUACCGAUAAUUAAGGAGCCGAA